UACGUAGGGUGCAAGCGUUGUCCGGAAUUAUUGGGCGUAAAGAGCUCGUAGGCGGUUUGUCGCGUCGAAUGUGAAAACCCGGGGCUCAACUCCGGGCCUGCAUUCGAUACGGGCAGACUAGAGUUCGGUAGGGGAGUCUGGAAUUCCUGGUGUAGCGGUGAAAUGCGCAGAUAUCAGGAGGAACACCGAUGGCGAAGGCAGGUCUCUGGGCCAUAACUGACCGCUGAGAAGCGAAAGCAUGGGGAGCGAAACAGGA
rnacentral:rRNA from 1 species